rnacentral:lncRNA from 1 species
ACGCAUGCGUGCAGGAUCCCUGGGCAUAGUCGCUUGUUCUCCGCCCGCGGUGGACCAGCUGCGUAACGGUUCACACACUGAUGGCGCCUGGAGGUUUGGCGAAAUACUGACAGGAUGCGACGUCAACGGGAGCGCAGGGCCAAGAUACCCUUUAUAUCAAACCGUCUAUCCUGGAGCAGAAAAAUCCUGUCUUCAUUGCUAUAGCUACAGAUUCAGAAAUGAGCAUGUAACAAAUUCAGGCCAAAGAGAGGCAAUGGAAAUCAGAGAAACACUGUUCCUGAAAGCUUCUGUCACUCAAGAAUCCAUGAAACAUUCAUGAACUUCACAUCAGGAAGAUUUCUGUAUUUGUCUUCUUAACUCUUGAGUUUUGUUGUUGCUAAUAUUGGAUGAAGAGGAGACAAAAUGAUUGGAUCUAGAGGAGCACCGACAAGCAAAUGGCAGAUUCCUAGGCCCUCACCAGAGGCUGAGCAGAUGUUGGUGCCAUGCUUGUACAAGUCUACGGAACCAUGAGCUAAAAUAAACCUUUUUUCUUUAGAAAUUA